ACUGCCCCUAGAGGCACUGCAGGUGUGGCUGCUGUGUCACAUAUGUGUCGCUAGGUGGCAGAGAAGAGAGAGACUAUGCUCAUUGUUCAGCGUUCUGACCUGUGAACAUCUGAGUAGAUUAAUAGCCCUAACACU